GGGAAGGUAGCUCAGUGGUAGAGCACUUGCCUUGCAUGCAUGAGGCCCUGUGGUAGAGCACUUGCCUU
rnacentral:tRNA from 1 species